CAGUAGCCACGGUAAUACGAAGGGUGCAAGCGUUAAUCGGAAUCACUGGGCGUAAAGGGAGCGUAGGCGGCGUGGUAAGUCAGAUGUGAAAUCCCGGGGCCCAACCCCGGAACUGCAUCCGAUACUGCCAUGCUAGAGGAUUGGAGAGGUAGCUGGAAUUCUUGGUGUAGCAGUGAAAUGCGUGGAGAUCAAGAGGAACACUCGUGGCGAAAGCGAGCUACUGGACAAUAACUGACGCUGAGGCUCGAAGGCCAGGGUAGCGAAAGGGAUUAGAUACCCCAGUAGUCCCUGUCUCUUAUAA
rnacentral:rRNA from 1 species